UUGGCCGGGGCUGCUCCUGUCGGCGCGGCGGGAGGCAGCGGGUCGCCUCACUCCUCCGUGCUGGAGAUGCAGAACAAAGCUUUUUGGCAGGAAAAGGAAGCGGCUGUCCCCUGCAUCACUGUUCUGGGGCUGGCAAUCCCCUCCCUCCCGGGCCAGGGCUGAUCUCACAUCCUUCCAGUCCCUUCCCAAGGCUGCGGGACUGCCGGAUCGCAGCCCCCGUGGCGCGGUUUGCCCUCGCCCAGCCUCCCCGCUGCCACAUAACUUGUCCCCGCGGCACCCUGCCCAGCCCGUGUGCAAAUCGUGCGAGCCUCGGAUCAUGUUGUGCCUGCCUCGGAACGCAUCCGGCAGGCUCGUCGAUGCACUGAAACCCCAGACAAACAAACAGCAGUUGUGCAAGGGUGCAGGGCAGACAUCUCCGGCAGGAAACGCAGCGCAGGACUUGCUCUAUUUUAAUCCCGCCAAGGGUCUUCUUGGAAGCGAGGCAGAGCCCGGCUGCGCAGAGUUAAGAAUGAAACCCUAUUUUUAGCCUGUCCCCGGUGAGAGUUUGUUGCAGAGCACAGAAAUACGGGCAGAGAUCACAGACGUACAGACUGGGAUCACAGACGCAUUGCUUCUGCAGCAGAAGCAUUUUCAAGUGGACUCUGAACUCGCUGCUCUCUGUCACGCCAUCUGGGUCGUUCCUCGGAUGGCGCCCGUCAUUAGGACCUCUGAGGUCACAGAAAGCACCUAGAACUUUCCUUCCGGACACUUAUCUCAAUCACCAGCGCACAUCUUCGGCCCGCCGCCCUGCACUUAGAGUUUCCAGGAAUAUUCCAUGCAGACUGGUACACCUAUUAUAAAGGUUGCCCAAUACUUUCCAUAGCAAUAAUAAUAAUAAUAAAAUCCCAUUCUAAGUUGA